AUCAGAUUCACCAGGAGGACUUGUUAAACCACAGAUUGCUAAGCAUGUCACCCAGCAUCUCUGAUUCAGUAAAUUUGAGAUAGUGCCCCCAAAUUUGCAUUUCUAACAAGCUCCUAGGUGAUGCUGAU
rnacentral:pre_miRNA from 1 species